GACUCCUACGGGAGGCAGCAGUGGGGAAUAUUGCACAAUGGGCGCAAGCCUGAUGCAGCCAUGCCGCGUGUGUGAAGAAGGCCUUCGGGUUGUAAAGCACUUUCAGCGAGGAGGAAGGUGGUGAACUUAAUACGUUCACCAAUUGACGUUACUCGCAGAAGAAGCACCGGCUAACUCCGUGCCAGCAGCCGCGGUAAUACGGAGGGUGCAAGCGUUAAUCGGAAUUACUGGGCGUAAAGCGCACGCAGGCGGUUUGUUAAGUCAGAUGUGAAAUCCC
rnacentral:rRNA from 1 species